GACGAACGCUGGCGGCGUGCUUAACACAUGCAAGUCGAGCGGUAAGGCCUUUCGGGGUACACGAGCGGCGAACGGGUGAGUAACACGGUGGUGAUCUGCCCUGCACUUCGGGAUAAGCCUGGGAAACUGGGUCUAAUACCGGAUAUGACCUCCUAUCGCAUGGUGGGUGGGGGCAAGAUUUAUCGGUGCAGGCUGGGUCCGCGGCCUAUCAGCUUGUUGGUGGGGUAAUGGCCUACCAAGGCGACGACGGGUAGCCGACCUGAGAGGGUGACCGGCCACACUGGGACUGCGACACGGACCAGACUCCUACGGGAGGCAGCGGUGGGGAAUAUUGCACAAUGGGCGCGAGCCUGAGGCAGCGACGCCGCGUGAGGGAUGACGGCCUUCGGGUUGUAAACCUCUUUCAGCAGGGACGAAGCCCAAGUGACGGUACCUGCAGAAGAAGCACCGGCUAACUACGUG
rnacentral:rRNA from 1 species